UACAGAGGGGGCAAGCGUUGUUCGGAAUUACUGGGCGUAAAGGGCGCGUAGGCGGCCAACUAAGUCACACGUGAAAUCCCCGGGCUCAACCCGGGAACUGCGUCCGAUACUGGAAGGCUUGAAUCCGGGAGAGGGAUGCGGAAUUCCAGGUGUAGCGGUGGAAAUGCGUAGGAUAUCUGGAAGGAACACCGGUGGCGAAGGCGGCAUCCUGGACCGGUAUUG
rnacentral:rRNA from 1 species